UACGUAGGCAGCGAGCGUUGUUCGGAAUUACUGGGCGUAAAGAGUGUGUAGGUGGUGAUCUAAGUCUGUCGUGAAAUCUCCCGGCUUAACUGGGAGGGUGCGGCGGAAACUGGAUCGCUAGAGUAUGGGAGAGGUAAGCGGAAUUCCUGGUGUAGCGGUGAAAUGCGUAGAUAUCGGGAAGAACACCCGUGGCGAAGGCGGCUCUCUGGGACGGUACUGACGCUGAGACGCGAAAGCGUGGGGAGCGAACAGG
rnacentral:rRNA from 1 species